AUGUUACAGGGAAGGAGAAAAAUCAAUGAAGGAAUUCAUGACCAGAACCGGAGCCGAGUACCUACCAUGGACAACCACGUCAUUGUCUCCCCCACCGCGACUUCACCACCAACAGAUUCACCACCGUGCGGCCCUUUCGAUGAACGCCAACUCGCGUGGACAUCGCAAGCUUCGACACUGUUGAGCAAGACUUCAAGAUCGAUCUGUGUAUCAAUCAAAACACUGGUUUCUGCUUCAAAUUCGGGUUCGAAACUCGCGAGAAGGUCAACAGAUGUUCAAGUCUGCUCGCGCUCACUCCGUCUCACCGAAGACCGCCAUACGCCACCGCAAACACCUGAAGCAGCUCCGAUCUGUUGCCAACGAUGCUCUUCCUCUUUGUCACGAUUUCACUUACCAACGCCUUUCGUUCUUCCCCCGCGAUGA